GCCUCACUCACUGGCAGCAAAUUCAAGGCCGGCGACUGGAGUCGCAGCUGCCGCUGCUCCUACUCUCACUCCCGGGUCCGGCCCAACGCCAGGGCGGCCAUCUUGGUCCAGCUUCUCCCUCUACAGCGGCCCGUUAGAAGAAGAGAACGAGCGCUUAGCCAGCAAACUGGCCCGGCUUCUAAAGGAGAAUAAGGAGCUGGAGAACAAACUAAAACUCGAUCCAGAAAGAGAGGCUGACCGAAAGGAGUUGCAGGUUGCAAUACUGAAGAAGAAAUUGGAAAAGGAGCAGAAGGCAAUCAGCCGACUCAUCGCUGAGGUCUCAAAGGAGACUCUCAGAAACAGAGACCUUAUAAUGGCUCAGGAGCAGGGGAUCGACAACUUCUGCUCCCACCUCCAGUUUCUACCCUUCUCUGGGAGAAAAAUGACUGACCAUGGCAACUCUGCGAGAAGCCAAUCUGAAGAAAAAACUGACUGUGUGUAAAAGUAUCUUGAUGUCAAAUGCAAGGUGACUCUGCAUCACGCUCAAGAAAAUGACGAGUCCCAACCAUGGAUCGUUGUGGAGAUCCCACUCCUUACUAGCACUGAUGAUGUUACCUAGUUUGGGCAAUGAAACGUCUGCAAAAAAACAACCAAGCUCAGGGAGCACCAAGAACUCUCAUUUCAACCCUGAGCUACAAAUUUUCUCCAUUAUUUUUACUGUCCUUUCUGCUCAAGCAUGUUUCUAAUGUAACUUUCAGCAGCAGUGAAUGAUAGAUAUUCAUAAACAAAAUAGGAUUUGGAGAGUACUUAGAAUGACUGCAAGGCCAAACUUCUCAUGGCCCCUCUGUUGAAAACUGGGCUGCCUGUGUACGUUUCAUAUUUCCUCAGAGUGUACAGGCCAGAGGCAGAAGGCCUGUAGAGAUUCUCAGUUAUCCAGGUCAUAGUUGUCUCAAAGGUGCUUUUCCAAAAGGCAACCAGAGUGUUUUUCGUUGAAGAGGAAGAAGAAAAUGUUUCGUUUAUCAUCCAAGAAGGAUCAUAAGUUGAGAUGGGAGAAUGGAAGGAUAGGUUCUGACAGGAUUAUGGGAGAGGGGAUGUGCUGUCUUGUAGCAGACGUUUCUUCAGUUGUUGGAAUGCAGAUGAAGAGUGAAGUCACAUCAUAAGAAACCAUAGUUUCAUCUGGAUCCAAUUUUAGUUUCCAAACUUUGCUGACAAAGUCCUGUGAACUGUUGAAGUGAUGGGUGGUGUGGACAACCAGAAGAGCUAAUAAGGUGGUUAAAUAUUUCCCAAUUUGUAGUUGACAAGAGUUGAUGCUGCUGACAAUUGGCCUGAGUUCUGUCUUUAUGGAUUUUGGGGAGUCCAUAUAUGCAUGGAGUGGCUUCCCUAGGGUAAACGGCAUUGUCCUUCAGUAGUUGUUUUGCAGGAAAUUGAUGACUUUUUUCUUAUAAUUCUCUCUUCAGAGUCUUAUAUGUAGCAGUGUCCUUCAGAAAAGGGUCCAUCUUGAUACUGUAGUCAUCUGUGUUCAGGAUAACCGUGUAUCUUCAUUUAUCAGCUGCCAAAAUGGUGACUUUGGGUCUCUUCCUAGGGAUGCCACGCUUUCCUUUCUUGAAUUGUCACAUUGGAGGGCAGUGUUUUGGCAUUGGCAAGCGUUGCUGAUACCUUCAUCCUUAACUGUUCCGCCUCUAGUUCUGUCAGUUUAGUAUUCUUGAUGGCUGACUCUGGCUGUGAGGAGAUCUGCAUUUGGUAGCUGUUCUGGUGUUACUGCAAAAUUCAGUCCUUUAGAUAAAACAUUCUCACCCAUCAGUCAGUUCUCUAAGACAUGUCACUGUCCUCAUCUGGAUUGAUUCUUCUGUUUUGUGUGCUUUUUCUUGUCUAACUGUAGGGUAGAACAUUUGCUUUUCUCUCUUUCUUUGCCCUUGUAAUGUUGUGCUAGUUGUGCCUUCUGUGACCUCCGCCAAUAUUUCUGUUGGAAUAAGUUAUUUCAGCUCUUGAAGUUUGUGUUCUACUCUCUCUUUCAAAACCUCAAUUGUAAAAUUAAUCUGUCAUUCUUUCAUUGAGAAGUUGGAGCUGUGCUUUCUGUAGGAGGUUUUCUGUCCUGUAUCCUAUCACUGUUGAACACAAGCGCAGGCUGGAGUCUGUGUUAUCUGUAUCUCAAAUUGAAGUGCAAAUCCGUUCAUAUUCCUGCACCAUUCAAGAAGGGCAUUCAUCGCAAAGUGUAUGGCUAAAUGUGGGGAUUCUCAGUCAUCCACAUCAUAAUUGUCUCAAGGUGCUUUUUCCUUGAAGAAGAAGAAGACAUUUCGCUUCUCAUCCAAGAAGCGUCAUCAACUGUGACACUGGGGGGAAUGGAAGGAUAGGUUCUGACAGUUGAG